ACCACUCUCAGGAAAGGCAGUGUCCACCUUCCCAGGAGGUCUCCAGGAUGUUAUGAAGGGGUGUGCCGGCCCAGGUCGUGCUCACCCUGCCUGGGCGAAGGGGGGUGUGUUUCUCCAAAAUAAUGCGGCUUUGGGGGAGCUGUCAGAUUUCACUCUGGCUGAACCUGAUCCCAAUGUCCUGCAUUUUGUGCUCAUCUUUGAGUCAGAACUUUGGGGGUAUUUUCCUCCUGCCUCUGAACAGUGACUCGUGGGUCUGGCUGCUUUCACCUGGAGAACGUUGCAUUAAAGGCAGGGCUGUCGAACAGGACCUGCGUUUGCAAGGAAGCGCCUCCUCCCGGGAGACUGGAGCCCUUCACUUCUGGUGGCCUUGACCUCUGGUUGCAAGACAAAUGGGAUCCACUAAAUCCGCUGUCCCUUCUCUCAAGAGGCUGGGAGGCAGGGAAAUUGUUCUUCCAUUUGUUACUGUCUUGAUUACAAAAACAUUAUUGGCAACAGUGUUUUACAUAAUGUACUGGUGUCCACUAAACCUUGAAGCAGGGCCUCCCCCGUGGCGCAGAAGGUUGAGCUCAGCCCUGGGAAGCCGCCUCCAGACUCUGCAGCGCAGGUUCAAUUCCCGGCCGGCGAGGGAGAUUCCCACAUGGCGCAGCAGACCUCUCCCGCCGUGCCCGCUGCUCCCCUCAGCCGUGUGUUUCAUCACUCGGCCUGUUCUGCUCCCUGCUCUGUCUCUGGUGGAUCCUCUCACCCCCCACACCUCUGGCCUGUGCCCCGGUUCUUGUAUGCAUGAAUAAUAAAAUCUUAAAAAAAAAAAAAA